AGUGGCGGCCUUAGCGCGGUGGUCCCACCUGACCCCAUGCCGAACUCAGAAGUGAAACGCCGUAGCGCCGAUGGUAGUGUGGGGUCUCCCCAUGCGAGAGUAGGGAACUGCCAGGC
rnacentral:rRNA from 1 species